GCAGCAGGCGCGAAACCUCCUCAAUGCACUAACGUGCGAAGGGGUUACCUCGAGUGCUACCUGAAGAAGGUGGCUUUUCCUUGGUCUAAAAAGCCUCGGGAAUAAGAGGGGGGCAAGACUGGUGUCAGCCGCCGCGGUAACACCAGCCCCUCGAGUGGUGGGGAUGAUUAUUUGGCCUAAAGCGUCCGUAGCCGGCCGGGUAAGUUUCCCGUUAAAUCCAACGUCUCAAGCGUUGGACUGCGGGAAAUACUGCCUGGCUAGAGAGUGGGAGAGGUCAGCGGUAUUCUGGGGGUAGGGGCGAAAUCCUUUGAUCCCCGGAGGACCACCAGUGGCGAAGGCUGUCUCACUAGAACACGUCUGACGGUCAGGGACGAAAGCUGGGGUAGCGAACCGGAUUAGAUACCCGGGUAGUCCCAGCGGUAAACGAUGCAUGCUAGGUGUUGGGUUGGCCUCGAGCCACCCCAGUGCCGCAGGGAAGCCGUUAAGCAUGCCG
rnacentral:rRNA from 1 species